UACGGAGGGGGCUAGCGUUGUUCGGAAUUACUGGGCGUAAAGCGCGCGUAGGCGGCUUUGUAAGUUAGAGGUGAAAGCCCGGAGCUCAACUCCGGAACUGCCUUUAAGACUGCAUCGCUAGAAUUGUGGAGAGGUGAGUGGAAUUCCGAGUGUAGAGGUGAAAUUCGUAGAUAUCGGGAGGAACACCAGUGGCGAAGGCGGAGACCUGGGCCAAUACUGACGCUGAGGUGCGAAAGCGUGGGGAGCAAACAGG
rnacentral:rRNA from 1 species